UAUACCACAAAACUUGCUUCUUUUUCUACCUCAUUUGUCUCCUGGCACACAAUAUUAAAUUCCCAACGUGGACCUCCGAUUGGCUGGACGGCUGCUCGCUGGUCACGUGAUUUGUAGAUUUAGACUUGGCGCGCUUUGGUGAUUGGGCCGCGCGCCUCUCCUCCCCCCGACUCUCCUGCUGCAGUAUUUACGACCAUCGGCUGGGAUUCCUCGGCUGUGUUUCCUUUUCUGGGCCUUCGGUUUUAUCAGAAAAUUCUCCUCCUCUUACUAAUAAUCACCGAGGCUCCACAUGCUGUAAUAUUCUCCCUCAGCGGCGCGGGGUUGUUCUGGCAGCUCUCGGCGUCGGCUCCACCCCACCGAAAGCACUAUGGGGAGGGGGGCUGAUGGGACGCUAGGGGAGGGGUGUAGCAGCAGGGAGUAAAACUGUGGCUGUGAUAAUCUUGUUUUUUAUUGAGGGAAAAUCGUUACAGUCAACAUUAAGUGGCUCACAACGCGUAGUCUUCAUGCUGAUAGGACACUGACAGCUGCCCGGUGCAUGCUUCCUCCUCCUCCUCCUCCUCCUCCUCCUCCAGAACCACCAUCAUCCCUCCCUCUCCACCUCCGCUGCUUGGGGUGGUGGGGGUGGGUCAGGGCGGGCGGUGGAGGGGGAGAGAGGGCGGGAAGUGGGUGAUCUCUUGUGUUGGCGAGAGGGAAAUACAGUUCGUGGAAUGUUUAUCCUUCACUGCUUUAGGAGGAGGAGCGAGCGAGGAGGAGGAGGAGGAGGAGGAGGGGGAGGAGUUUGUGGUGGUGGAUCCAGUCAAAUAGAAAAGAACAGGAAAGUUUGAUCUUAUGUUCUUGGCAGCGGAGGAGGAGGUGGAAGAGGUGGAGAUUUAAUGGCUUUAGAAGAGAUGGAGGCUUGAGACGAGGUGGUGAGAGAAGAAAACUAACAUAUGUGGAGGAGAAGGCAGAGACAGAAGAGGAAGAGGAGGUGGAGGAGGAGGUAGAGGUGGAAGAGGUGGAGAUUUAAUGGCUUUAGAAGAGAUGGGGCUUGAGACGAGGUGGUGAGAGAAGAAAACUAACAUAUGUGGAGGUGGAAGAGGAGGCAGAAACAGAAGAGGAAGAAGAGGAGGUGGAGGAGGAGAAAUGGAGGAGGGGGAGGUAGGGAAAGGGAUUGAUUAGCUUUAGAGGAGAUGGAGGCUUUCAAACGAGGUGGAGAGAGAGGAAAAAUAACAUAUGAGGAGGUGGAGAUGGAGGUGGAAGCGGAGGGAGUGGAGGAGGAGAAAUGGAGUUGGUAGAGGUAUAAAGAAAAUUGAAUAGCUUUAGAAGAGAUGGAGGCUUUCAAACGAGGUGGAGAGAGGGAAAAGAAUAAAUAAAAGAAUAUGUCUGUUCAAAGAAGGUCAAGAAAAGACAUAUACUUAAGGCUGAAGAAUCGGAUUUAAAGGUGACUGGUUCUGACGGCGGCGGUGACGUGGGGCAGGCGACAGUGUUUUGUUUUAGGUGAAGUGAAGGGACAAGGUCAUUUGGGUGCAUGGGGAGGUCCUCUUCUUCCUCUUCUCGUCCUCUUGUAUGCCUCCUCUUACCUCUUUGUCACUUGUUACAGACCUCUUGAUUCAGCCGCGCUCUCUAUACGGAUUUUUUUUUUUUCUUUUCUAUUCCUCCUUUGCCUUCUUUCUUCUAUGGCUCCUCUUUCUUCUCCUCCUCAUCCUCCCCCUCCUCGGUACACGCACACACGAACACACUACCACAUCAACAACAGCAAACACUCAACAACGACAAUAAAUUAUAGAACUGAGGUAUUGAAGGAGUAGCCCCCACCCCCCACCAAUGACUUUGUACACACACACACACACACACACACACACACACACACACACACACACACGCGCGCACAUGUGUCCCAAAGUACAUGUUUCCACCUGGGUGAAUGUCAAUUUUACGUGCGUUACUUCCUCGAUCAAGCCUUUAAUGUGUGUGUAAAUGAGAGGUUAUACACGUGCAGCGAUAUCAACAUACACACACACACACACACACACACACACACACACACACACACACA